rnacentral:rRNA from 1 species
UCCUACGGGAGGCAGCAGUGGGGAAUAUUGGACAAUGGGGGCAACCCUGAUCCAGCCAUGCCGCGUGUGUGAAGAAGGCCUUCGGGUUGUAAAGCACUUUCAGUUGUGAGGAAGGGGAGCUAGUUAAUACCUAGUUUCAUUGACGUUAACAACAGAAGAAGCACCGGCUAACUUCGUGCCAGCAGCCGCGGUAAUACGGAGGGUGCAAGCGUUAAUCGGAAUUACUGGGCGUAAAGCGCGCGUAGGCGGUUAUUUAAGCCAGAUGUGAAAUCCCCGGGCUUAACCUGGGAACUGCAUUUGGAACUGGGUAACU